rnacentral:rRNA from 1 species
GGCUCAGGAUGAACGCUAGCUACAGGCUUAACACAUGCAAGUCGAGGGCAGCACAGUGUAGCAAUACAUGGGUGGCGACCGGCGCACGGGUGCGUAACGCGUAUCCAACCUUCCGAUACUCUUGGAUAGCCUUCGAAAGGGAGAUUAAUACAAGAUGGUGUUUCACUUUCGCAUGUUAUUGAAACUAAGAAUUUCGGAAACGGAUAGGCUCGCGUGACAUUAGCUAGAUGGCGGGGUAACGGCCCACCAUGGCGACGAUGUCUAGGGGUUCUGAGAGGAAGGUCCCCCACACUGGAACUGAGACACGGUCCAGACUCCUACGGGAGGCAGCAGUGAGGAACAUUGGUCAAUGGUCUGACGACUGAACCAGCCAUGCCGCGUGAAGGUGACGGCCCUAUGGGUCUUAAACUUCUUUUGCAAGGGAGCAAUAAGGGUCACGUGUGGUCCGAUGAGAGUACCUUACGAAUAAGCAUCGGCUAACUCCGUG